AGCUAGACUGGGAGGUGGGUGGCUGCACACUCAAAACUGGCUUCCAACGGGACACAGACAUCAAAACAAAGAAGAGGGCCUCACGACAGGGUUGCCUUGCUUACUCAGCCCACAGCUCUCAAACCGUUGCGCGAGGAAGAGCACGCAGGAGAACAGGAUGCAUGCAUUAUUCUCCACGACUGAUACAGAAGUAAAUUCCAGAAAGCUUUAAAGUCAGUUUGUAUAAAGAGAGGUUCUCUUUGACUGUGAAACAGAAGAAAAUCUUUCCUUAACAAUAACUUACACGUGCCAUGAAAGAGAUGAAGCAGAAGAUUAAGCAGGAAACCCAGCUACUUUUUUGCCCUAAGGCAUUACUCAUUUUCCUGACACAUUAUGUUUUUAAUUAAAAUUACAUGUGAGUUAAU
rnacentral:lncRNA from 1 species